rnacentral:rRNA from 1 species
GUCCCGAGCGCGCCCCUUGUGUCCUCGCGGGCCGUGGAGGGACGCACAACCCCGGCGCGAGAAGCGCCAAGGAAAUUGAGUACUAGGAGCACGCCCUCGUAGCCUCGGUGUCGGGGGCGCGCCUUCUUUUUGUGAUAAUCUGAACGACUCUCGGCAACGGAUAUCUCGGCUCUCGCAUCGAUGAAGAACGUAGCGAAAUGCGAUACUUGGUGUGAAUUGCAGAAUCCCGUGAACCAUCGAGUCUUUGAACGCAAGUUGCGCCCGAGGCCUCCUGGUCGAGGGCACGCCUGCCUGGGUGUCACGCAUCGUCGCCCCCACUCCCCUCGGCUCACGAGGGCGGGGGCGGAUACUGGUCUCCCGCGCGCUCCCGCCCGUGGUUGGCCUAAAAUCGAGUCCUCGGCGACGGUCGCCACGACAAGCGGUGGUUGAGAGACCCUCGGACACGGUCGUGCGCGUGCUUGUCGCCCCCGGGACCUCCCGGACCCCCGAGCAUUGGCUUUCAAGGAUGCUCUCGUUGCGACCCCAGGUCAGGCGGGACUACCCGCUGAG